rnacentral:lncRNA from 1 species
AAAAAAGAAAAUACCACUGAACACCAUGUGGAUUGCCAACUGCAUGGAUACAGUGGGAGAUGCCAACAUCAGUUCUGGGAGGUCCUUUGUGUUGGGCUGGCCCACGGUAAACUUUGUGGCCACCUUCAGUCCGUAACUAUAACAGUGACAAAUUCCGACACGGCAAAUGACACUAUCAACAUGUUACUAACAAUGCUGGGAAUAACCGUAAGUUGCCUAUAAACUAUUUUUAGGGUGAGUUCUGGCAAGGAAAAACUUCCACUAACUGGUAAGUGUCAGGGAAAAUCUAAGAUGGGAUUGAUUAGGUUCAAAAUUGUAACUCAAAGUUUCAAAGUAAUGGUUGUUCUUUCUUAAGCUUCAAAAUCCUUAAAAGUGAAAAUCACAUGUUAUAUUCCCUCACAUGUUUAUUAAAUAAUUACCAGGUACUGUUUCCCAGGCAUUGAUAACAUCUCUUCAUUCAGCAGCUAUGAUUUAGUGAGGGAGAGAAAUGUAAAUUUUUGUUUCUACUUCUUGUUACCUGACAAACAGAGCUGUCUUGAAAAAGUGUGAUUAUUUACUAUUUACUUACUUAUUUACUCACUUAGGUAUGAAAGCAAAAUGGAUGGGAAUUUUUUUCCCAUACAUUUAUUUUUCAUAUUUCAAUCUUGAAUUCUAGUUCCUAACUACUAAGAAGCCUCUAUUUUGUGAGAAUCCUCUAAAAUCCAGUUAUGUCCCUGAAUCUGGUUACAGAUAUGUAUUUAACACCCCUGCCCUGUGCCCACUUUUCUCUGCAUCAUAAAGAAAAUGAGAUAAUCACAUUUAAACUCCU